rnacentral:lncRNA from 1 species
GCCAGGGGGCGGGGCUAACGUCCUCCACGUUCUUCCCCCCUCCUCGCCGCCAUUUUGUCCGCCAUUUUGGAGGGCGCCGAAGGACCCCAACGGGGAUGGGGCGUCUCCGGCAGUGCCUGCAGCGCUGUCAUUGGACCCCAACGGGGAUGGGGCGUCUGCGGCAGUGCCUGCAGCGCGGGGAGUACGGGCAGCUGAGGGACUGCCCCAUGCUGGAGGGAGAAUUCCUGCAGGUGACCCGUUCCGGUGACCCCGUGUCGUUCGUGGCCGUGGGGGCGGCGGCGCUGAGCCGGGAAGGGAGCGGCCCCGAGCUGCUCUUACUCGCAGCCGCCACUGGGGGGCGACAGAGAGGCGAAGUCCGCCUGCUGGCGUCAGUCCCUGCCCCAUAGCUGCCCCAUAGCUGCCCCAUAGAGAGCCCAUAACCGUCCCAUAGCUGCCCCAUAGCUGCCCCAUAGCUGCCCCAUAGCUGCCCCAUAGCUGCCCCAUAGCUGCCCCAUAGCCGUCCCAUAGCUGCCCCAUAGCUGCCCCAUAGAGAGCCCAUAACUGCCCCAUAGCUGCCCCAUAGCUGCCCCAUAGAGAGCCCAUAUCCAUCCCAUAGAUAUUCCUGAGCUGCCAUAUAGUGACCCCAUAGCUGCCCCAUAGCUGCCCCAUAGCUGCCCCAUAGA